AGCUUCAGGAAUCACCGGUCCUGGACGCGAGUGCUCCACUGACCUCCUUUGCAGGAUGCAAUAGCCAAGAAUGAUCUCAACGGAUCAGGGACAAAGGGACCCUGGGAUCCCACCCGCUGGGGGGCUUGGAGAAUGUCCUGGGCAGCCACCAUCUCUCGAGACGAUGGCUCGUUUGUCUGCUCUGUGAGGCUGCAAGGCAGAGACAAGCCAGCCACCAGCUGCCCGCCCUGGUCCGCAGGGCUGGAGGCCUCUCUCCUUGGCUCACAGAUGGCUGUCUUCCCACUGGGUCCUCACCUGGUGUCUCCUCUGUGCCUAAGUCCCCUUGGGGUCUGUGUGUCCAAUGUCCUCUUCUUAGAAGGCCACCAGUCACACUGGAUGCAUUCCCACCCCAACGGCCUGUUUUUAUUUGAGGCCCUGUCUCCACAUACGUCACAUCUGAGGAUCUGGCCGUUAGAGCCUCAACUAUGCGUUUUGGGGGAACACGAUGAGACCCACGGAGGAGACGAUAACGAGGGUCACCAUGAGCAGGACCGCCGGGCAGGAAAGCCGAAGAAUGCGGUGUGUGGAUAGAAGCAGAUGAUGUCAGAGAGCCUGGAGAAUGCUGUGCUCCUGGCCUCGGACAUGGAACAAGGCGCCAAGUGCAAGUGGUCUCGCAGCUGGGAAACGCAGGCGAACAGAUUGCCCGUGGCGCCUCCGGAAGGAGUGCAGCCCUGCUCAUAACCGUGAUUUUACGCCAGUAGCUGCCAUUGUGGACUUCCAGUCUCCAGAACUGGAAGAGGACAGCGUUUUGAUGUUUUAAGCCCUUGAAUCUGUGGCGAUUUGUUACAGCAGCAAUAGAACACUCAACGUGCGGGUCCAGUGCCCCCAUCACCAACAGCCGCUAAGCAGAUACGUCUGCAGAAUUCUCCCCUCCAAACGCAGUGAUUGGUCCAAAGGUGGGAACAUGAGCCAAUCAGGGUCCUUCCCCGGGCUGUUCUGUUUGGGGCCGAACUCCGGGCAGGUGCGGCUUUCCCUGUGCGGGUCUAGAAUUGUCCAAAAGUGUACCUCCUAUGGCUUAGGAAAAGCCCGUCUGCAGCCUAGAGGCAGAGCUGCUAGAAGUGAGGAAAAGGAAGAGGACGAGGAGGAAGGAAAGGGUUCCAAGUGCUGCCCGAGCCCUGGGGUCCAGCUGUUCUCACACCCUGCCUGCCCUGCCUCUAGUGUGGUUAAACGAAGCUAUGCCCCUUGUGCUGGUUUGGGCUGGAUUUCCUGGAGUCCUGAUCAGAGUCGGAACUAAACCGUGUUACAGUGACAGGUGGGGACGCUGAGCAUGUCCCCUCCCCAGUUUAAAGGUGACUAAGUCUCACUGUGGGACCCCGUGCCUCCUGCGGGGGGCUGCAGGUACCCUGACUGCUCCCCCCUGAGUAUGCUGAGCGAAAGGCUGAAGUAAAUGCAGGUGACACUUCCACACGUGUGUGGGGAACCGAGGCCAGCGGCCAAGCUGUGGGCAGAGAAACGUCAGAGCUGGGAAUGGAGACGGAAACCCCCGCCACGCAGAACCAGGAGCUCAUGCGAGGGACAGAACGAUUCGAGGCCAAGCUGCCUGACUUCACACCCCGUCUUCACACCUUUCGACACAGGCGCUUGGGCAGAACAUUCCGGCUCGCCACCCCCAGACCCCCAUCUGUGAAACGGGGCUAGUAAAACACCUGUUGCCUGAGAUCGGUGCGGUGGUUAAGGAAUUUACACGAAGAGAUCACACAGACAGAGGCACACGGCCAGCUCCUGGGGACGCCCAGCCUCUGUGACAAGUGUCCUCGCCUCCUGCCUUCUCACUUGACACACCGCCUCCAGAAGGCAGGUGGCCUAUCCCUAGGGCCUCAGGCUGGGCCUGAUCAGAAGUGAGGCUCCCCGCUCCCUCCGUUCACAAUCUGAGCCACUGCCAAGCCCAGGGAUGAUCGUUUCGGCCUCCCCCCGCUUCUCAGACAGCACCUUCCCCACCAGGAGCCGGAAGGCACUCUUCACAUAAAGCCUUCCCCGUUUAAUUCGCUCUGUGGUCGCACUGCGGGAGACCGUAUUCUGCCCUCCAUCCGGCUUUUUCUCCUGCCUUGAAAAUCCGAUACUCAGGGCGCCUGGGUGGCGCAGUCGGUUAAGCGUCCGACUUCAGCC